UCAGGACGAACGCUGGCGGCGUGCCUAAUACAUGCAAGUCGAACGGUCUUUCUAUGGAAGCUUGCUUCCACUGAGAAGAUAGUGGCGAACGGGUGAGUAACACGUGGGUAACCUGCCCAUAAGAGGGGGAUAACAUCCGGAAACGGGUGCUAAUACCGCAUAGUUUUCUUGAUCGCAUGAUCGGGAAGGGAAAGACGGCCUUUGUGCUGUCGCUUAUGGAUGGACCCGCGGCGUAUUAGUUAGUUGGUGAGGUAACGGCUCACCAAGACGAUGAUACGUAGCCGACCUGAGAGGGUGAUCGGCCACAUUGGGACUGAGACACGGCCCAAACUCCUACGGGAGGCAGCAGUAGGGAAUCUUCCGCAAUGGACGAAAGUCUGACGGAGCAACGCCGCGUGAGUGAAGAAAAGGUUUUCGGAUCGUAAAACUCUGUUGUCAGAGAAGAACAAGUUGGAGAGUAACUGCUCCAGCCUUGACGGUAUCUGACCAGAAAGCCACGGCUAACUACGUGCCAGCAGCCGC
rnacentral:rRNA from 1 species